AAAGCUCUAAAGUAGGAGCAAGCUUGUGUGGUUCAAAGAGCAGGAGGAGUGUGGACGUGGCUGGAGCUCACAGCGAAGAGCGAGAUGAGGCCAGAGAAGAAGGCAGGAGUGGAGCCUCCAGGGCCUGGGAGCCCGGAGCAAGGAUUUUGGAUGGUACCUUCAGAAUAUGAACUCCUCCCUGCUCUUUCUGUUUCCUGGCUUCCUCUCUCGUAACAGCAUGUCCUGGGAGGACCCAGGGAACAAUGAAUCCCACCGCAGUGGAGGUGAAUAAGGACACCUGGCUUCCAGCAGCAGGAAAACCAACCUCCAUAGUGAGGACAUUUGCAGUUACUUUUUAAAAUUUGAAGUUCCUUAUUUUAAAAAAAAUCAUCUCAUCGUCUUAUAUUACAGAAUAUUGUAAAAGAUAAACUAUUAAUUAUCUCAAA